UUUUUUAUUUUUUGGUGCUCAAAGCCUAUAAAUAACACAGGCAUUUGCAUCAUACUGCUAUAUUAGCACAUCCUGUUGUGUGUAAGAGCACACCCAGGUUCAUUUACAUCACUUUGGGAAAGACAGAGGUCUUAGCUAGUACACCAGAUUGCAAAUCAGAUGGUCCUUGGUCUGAGGCUAGAUGACAUCAAUGGAAAAAAUACCUUUCACCUUGGAUUCAUACAAAGUCUGCAAAAGAAAGGGCUGUUUGUGUGGAGGCAGGAAAAAAAACAACGGGCACCUCCUCUCCUGCAUGUGGACCCACAGACAAAAAAGAGAAGGGCACAUGGCUAGACAGAAAUAUCCUCUAUCUGGCUUGAAAUCAAACUAUGGAAUGCACCAUCACUCUGUCAAAUAUUUUGAGUGGAUUUUUGAAAGGGCUGAAUUAGUUCUUUGUUAUCUUUCUCUGCUGCUACUUUCACAUAAACAGAUAAAUAUGUGACUAUUUAAGCAGAAUGUUCUUUUCCAGCUUCAAAAUUAUACAACUGAGAGCAAAGUGUGGCAAUCUAAAAGUAAUCAAACCCAAUAGUUCAUGCUGUAUGGUAACCUUUUUGCCUGAAGAGGUCGGGAAGGAAAUAUUUUCCCACACUAAUGGGGGAUGCUAACAGCUGCCCCAGCAGACAGGUAUCGCAAGGUCAAAGGCUAGCAGAGCCAUGCACCUGCAGGAUUUGACUGCCAGCAAAGUAGAUAGGUAGUUUCUCAAAACUAAUAAUAAAAAUAGCAACAAUGAUGAGAAGAAGAAGGAACUGACAACAAAAAUGAAAAGAAACCUGCAAGAAGUGAAUUCUGGGUAGCACAACACUUGGCAGAGCUGAUUUUAAUAUCUGACAGGUUGAGUUCACUAAUCUUUGCUAUUCAUAUUGACGUGAAACUUCAUGCAGUUUUAGAGAUUUGUAUCUAUUAAGACAUGCAGCAGUGUUCCUACAACAUGGGAACAAGUUUGCUAGCGCCUACUGUUCUUCUUCUUGCCUGAUAAAAAUUGAUAUGAACUGUUUUAAACACCUAGCAGAUAAUUACUCUGAACACUCAAUAAAGAAAGCUACGUCUUCAGAGCCUCCUUUAUCUUUAAAAAAUAAUAAAAAGCCAAGCCCCAAACCCACCGACAAGACAAAACAACAUUCUUCCCUCCGUCUUCCCCCUCUCUUUUGUUUCUUUGAUUACUUGGAGCCUUGUAAUCAAACUAAGCUUAGUUUCAGGACCCUUGGGGCAGUAUCUCUUAGUUCCCUGUCAGGCUGCGUUGCAAAACAAUCAAUCUUGCUCUGGCGCUCACUUGGCGGAAGUGCCGCGACACCAGGAGCGCGGCGCUCUGCUCGCACUGUGAAGCUCCGAUGACAAAAGUUUUUAUCAGAAGCUGACUGUAUUUAGGGUUAUGAAUAUGCAAUGACUCUCAUUAGUAUUGAAGCACAGGAGCACGGGCUGACAUCCCCCGCCACUUUUAGCUGCUGCAGAGUCGUCUAAUGAAUUGUCUUGCUCUUUCACUCACGCAGGCUCUGCUGUUAUGGCUCCCCGUUCCAAGGGGAGUUGCCCAGUUUGAGAAUACUAUUGACUGCAGAAAUUAAUUGCCAGGAACUGCUCUUGAUUUUGUUAAACGGUGUUGAGACAGUGUUUAAAUUGUCAAAACAGAAAACCAUUAAACUCUACAAGAGGCAAAGUCACCUUGAGCGAGAGGACCUGCGCACCAGGCGCAGAUGUGCACAGCUGUGGUGUGGGUCUUGCACGCAGUUUUGUGGUCAUACCUGUGCAAACAAACACACCCGUGUUCUGGCAGAAGGUCUCUGGAACCCGGCUUCACAUUGAUUUAUCUGUUGUUCUUCCAGAUAGAACAAACGGGGAUAAGGGGGCAUUCUCCAAAUGAACAGGACUCCAAUACAUUGCUAUUUGAUCAACCCUUUAAUACUCUUUCUUUCUCCUCUGGGAUCCUGUCAAACAUUUUUCAGCUCACACAUCUGCAAUCUUUAUGAAUAAGGCACUGAUAAGGAUGUUUCCAACAAAUGAUUAAGAUAUCUGGCUUGAUUUGUAGUAUUUGAGGAGAUGUGCAUGCUUUCAGAAACAAGUGGAAAGAACCCUUUUUUCCCAAUUGGUUAAAUUAAGAUUUUUUUUUCCUUUUUUUUACUAUUCAUCUGAAUUUUUUUACGGGCACAAAAGAAGCUUUUGUAGCUCUCUGCAGAUUGUGAGGGAUGGAGCGAAUUGAAACAGAUAAUAUAUUCCAAGAAGCGUAAGUAGCAUUCUGAAAGGUGUGCACAUACUGCAAAUAAUAAAGAAUAUGAGGUUCUCCCAAGAAGAUGUCAGUCCUGCACAGCUCUUUAUCCAUUUAAUCAGUAAUGGAAAUGGUCCCAGUGCAAAGAGGAGGAUUUGUUUAAUUUUUACUGUGAUUUUUGGCACUGCUGCUCUAAGGCGAGCUUGGGUUACCUCUUGACCCAACCCCAGGAGGGCCUGUUCUCAUCAGCUGGAGAAAAAAUAAACAUAAAGAACAUCUACAUGUUGGGAGUAUCAAAUACAAGAGCAGUUUAAAAUAAAUGCAGUUCUGACAAAAGUGGCUCAAGUAUCAUACAUCAAACACUUGUUACCUCUCUUGGCCUUAGUGAUUGCACGUGACUAAGAAAGAGUGAGUGAUAAAAUCUGAAGAAAGAUGAAACCAAUCUGGGCCUUUUUAAAGAUCAUCAAUCAUUCUGCGCAGCCAUGAUAUUAUUAGUUCCAGUAAGCCUUGUUCUCCCACUUUAUGGACAUCAUAAACCCCCCACCCCUCGACCAACGCUACCAUGGGAAAUCAUUUUUAUGGGCAGCAUCUUAGCGUGGGCCAAUCAGAUCUAAUCACAUAACAAGCUACUGAAUUAUUCAACGUUCUCCCUAAUUCUGCAUUCUUCCUGCACUUUGCUGUCACUGCAGGGUUUUAAAAGUAUGUGUUUUUACAAUAUUUAUUAAGAAGAUAACCAUACAUGGGAAUUUUGCUUUCUCUGUGUCUUUCAAUAAUCGUUUGUUCCCUUAGAUUGUUAUGCUAUAUGCACUACUAUAUAGAGAAUAUAUAUAUAUAUAUAUAUAUAUAUAUAUUUUUUUUUUUUCUCUGAAAAGAAUAGCAAUUCACAAUGUGACAAUCGGCUCUAAACUCUUCGGCUUUUAAAAUACUGAGUGUAGGGACAACAAUAGUGAAACAAUUGUGUUCAAACAUAAAAUAUUCAGAUUUACUGAGCAAACUGUAACCAGCAUGUCUCUUAGCUGUUGCUAUGAAUACAGGGCUCACAUUGUAUAUGAAAAUAUUUCAGUUUUAAUUGCAAAUCUGUGCAGAGAUGAUUUGGGGUCUGUAAUUAGCACAUAAAUUCCAGACUUUGUGACUGCUGUGAAAACACACAUUAUUUAUGGAACGAUUAUCUAAAUAUAAUUCAGUGUUUUUUGCUUUCAACAACUACUGUAAAAGUCUGAUUUAAUAAAAUGUGAAAAAUUUCCCGU